AAGGGUUUUGUGCGCUAACUUUUGUUUUCUCUAAAAAUAUCAUUUGGUUUUCAAAGUUCAUACAAUGAAAGGGUUUUAGUAUUUAGUGUGACAUAAAUAUUUUUAAAUAUGUAACUGCCAAAAUCCUUCAAAACAACAUAAAUGUAUGCAAUUUCUCAACAAAAAAAAAAAACAUAUGUAACUGCUAAAUGCAAGCACGGGUUAUUAGCCAGAGGAAUUGUGAUUCAAUGAUUUGUGACUUCUUCCACUACCAAUUCUUUUAUUUCCUUCAAUUACCUGGGUUUUCUUUUCCUUCCUUCC
rnacentral:lncRNA from 1 species